GGAUCGGUGGUGUAGUGGUAACACAUUGCGUCUGGAUGUGAAAAGGAGGUGGUUCGACUCCUUCCCGGUCCA
rnacentral:tRNA from 1 species